rnacentral:rRNA from 1 species
GAUGAACGCUGGCGGCGUGCCUAAUACAUGCAAGUCGAACGCGAGAGGAGGGAGCUUGCUCCCUCUGAUCGUGUGGCGGACGGGUGAGUAACACGUAGGCAACCUGCCCAUCAGCCGGGGAUAACUGCGGGAAACCGUGGCUAAUACCGGAUAAUCCUCUCCACCGCGGGGUGGGGAGUUGAAAGACGGUUUCGGCUGUCGCUGAUGGAUGGGCCUGCGGCGCAUUAGCUGGUUGGCGGGGUAACGGCCCACCAAGGCAACGAUGCGUAGCCGACCUGAGAGGGUGAUCGGCCACACUGGGACUGAGACACGGCCCAGACUCCUACGGGAGGCAGCAGUAGGGAAUCUUCCGCAAUGGACGCAAGUCUGACGGAGCAACGCCGCGUGAGUGAAGAAGGGUUUCGGCUCGUAAAACUCUGUUGUUAAGGAAGAACAAGUGCUAGUUGAAUAAGCUGGCACCUUGACGGUACCUAACCAGAAAGCCACGGCUAACUACGUGCCAGCCGCCGCCGUAA